CCAUUGCCUGCGAAACGUGUUAUUCUCUGUUAAGUUUCCCACCAGGAGGUGUUGGUAGAGAGUGGAUAUCGCCUUUUCCAGAGGCAAGCCCUUUUCACAGGUCGCUUCAAACCAUGUAAGGUCCCUGUGAAUGCGGUGUUUAUUGCGCAUUGUGUCAUUGUAAUGCUUUACCUGUAGGUACCGCAGCACUAUCAGUGGUGAGCGGGGCCUGUCUCCCAGCAACAAUCCUAGGGUCCUCAGGGUGCCAUCCCGUAGAAUUGUGGAGAUGGG